GGUGAGUAAUGCCUAGGAAUCUGCCUGGUAGUGGGGGAUAACGUUCCGAAAGGAACGCUAAUACCGCAUACGUCCUACGGGAGAAAGCAGGGGACCUUCGGGCCUUGCGCUAUCAGAUGAGCCUAGGUCGGAUUAGCUAGUUGGUGAGGUAAUGGCUCACCAAGGCGACGAUCCGUAACUGGUCUGAGAGGAUGAUCAGUCACACUGGAACUGAGACACGGUCCAGACUCCUACGGGAGGCAGCAGUGGGGAAUAUUGGACAAUGGGCGAAAGCCUGAUCCAGCCAUGCCGCGUGUGUGAAGAAGGUCUUCGGAUUGUAAAGCACUUUAAGUUGGGAGGAAGGGCAUUAACCUAAUACGUUAGUGUUUUGACGUUACCGACAGAAUAAGCACCGGCUAACUUCGUGCCAGCAGCCGCGGUAAUACGAAGGGUGCAAGCGUUAAUCGGAAUUACUGGGCGUAAAGCGCGCGUAGGUGGUUCGUUAAGUUGGAUGUGAAAGC
rnacentral:rRNA from 1 species